CAUGUACUCCCUCCGUUCGGAAUUACUUGUCUUGGAUAUGGAUGUAUCUAGAACUAAAAUACAUCUAGAUACAUCCAUUUCUGCGACAAGUAAUUCCGAACGGAGGGAGUACCUC
rfam:Triticum aestivum genome assembly, contig: Triticum_aestivum_CS42_TGACv1_scaffold_194898_3AL